rnacentral:rRNA from 1 species
UACAGAGGUCCCAAGCGUUGUUCGGAUUCACUGGGCGUAAAGGGUGCGUAGGCGGUUGGGUAAGUCUGAUGUGAAAGCUCGGAGCUUAACUCCGAAAUGGCAUCGGAUACUAUCCGACUAGAGGAAUGGAGGGGAGACUGGAAUACUUGGUGUAGCAGUGAAAUGCGUAGAUAUCAAGUGGAACACCAGUGGCGAAGGCGAGUCUCUGGACAUUUCCUGACGCUGAGGCACGAAAGCCAGGGGAGCAAACGGG